rnacentral:rRNA from 1 species
GACUCUCGGCAACAGAUAACUCGGCUCUCGCAUCGAUGAAGAACGUAGCAAAAUACGAUACUUGGUGUGAAUUGCAGAAUCCCGUAAACCAUCGAGUCUUUGAACGCAAGUUGCGCCCCAAGCCAUUAGGCCGAGGGCACGUCUGCCUGGGUGUCA